rnacentral:lncRNA from 1 species
GUACAACUUACCAGUACGAAAGUUUUCCCCAAUCUAAAGAAAUACUGCCCUGACGAGGUUUAAAUAUCCAAGUCUGGACAUUGAGUUCAAGCACGAGAUAAACGAUCCCCGCGAAAAAAAGUGACCGGACAACUAUAGUUAUAUAUAGUAUCUAAAAAUAGAAAAAGGGGAAUUUACGAUGACCCACAAACGUUACAAUACCCC